ACUCCUACGGGAGGCAGCAGUGGGGAAUAUUGCACAAUGGGCGCAAGCCUGAUGCAGCCAUGCCGCGUGUGUGAAGAAGGCCUUCGGGUUGUAAGCACUUUUCAGUUGUGAGGAAGGUGGUGUCGUUAAUAGCGGCAUCAUUUUGACGUUUUAGCAACAGAAGAAGCACCGGCUAACUCCGUGCCAGCAGCCGCGGUAAUACGGAGGGUGCGAGCGUUAAUCGGAAUUACUGGGCGUAAAGCGCAUGCAGGUGGUUUGUUAAGUCAGAUGUGAAAAGCCCGGGGCUCAACCUCGGAAACUGCAUUUGAAACUGGCAGACUAGAGUACUGUAGAGGGGGGUAGAAUUUCAGGUGUAGCGGUGAAAUGCGUAGAGAUCUGAAGGAAUACCGGUGGCGAAGGCGGCCCCCUGGGACAGAUACUGACACUCAGAUGCGAAAGCGUGGGGAGCAAACAGGAUUAGAUACCCUGGUAGCACAGAG
rnacentral:rRNA from 1 species